GGAUAACUAAGGAAAGAGUAGGACCGAUGGAGACCAAGAAGCAUGAUCAGUAAGAGGCGCACGAUCAGUGAGGGGAGACUUUGGCCUGAGUGAAACAGAGACUGAAUGGUGUAACAGCAAGAACACAGCCAAAGACCAACACAACAACAGCUGACUCACAAAACUGACCUUGGCUACUGAGAGCAACCAAUCUGAAAUGCUUGUGCUGACAUGUCAGUUGGCAAACUCACAUCCAACAUAUUUGGUUUACCAUGAUAGUUAACUCUAUAUUUGAACAAAAAAUAGCUUUCUAGCCAAUGUUAAUAUUUGAGGCGGGUUUGAUAUUCUCGUGGUAUUCCAUAUUUAAACUAUGACAGAAUAUCGAGGAGGAUCGACAGUAUUUCUCAUGUUUCUGUCACAAGCUGAGAUGUCUCUCCAGAUGCUCUUCUGGUUGUGUCCUUGGCAAGGACGGGCAGCCUGCUAAAUCCCUGUAAUUUAAAAAAUUAGGACUUGUACAUAGUGUAGGCCAUCCUUCUUUAGUCUACUGCAUUGUUAACAUUCCAGAUUACACUUAAACAUAUUUAAUGUUAAUGGAGCAGUUGUGCUUUAUCUGUUGGACUAAGGUACUUGGCACUUUGGAAAGAAGCAGAGCACCUUGCAAUAUGAAUAGAAGUCAAAUACAUCUCAUAUUUCCCCUGUAGCAAGGAAACUUAUAAUGGCUGGAGUAGCUGACUAAGCAUAGCUGAUUAUUUGAUAGCAGAUUUCAUCUUGUGGACAGACAAAACACGCAAUAAUAAAUUUAAAUAAUCAUUGUUCAUUGGCCCAUAUCAUAUUUAUGUAAGAUUGUUG